UGCUAAUCAUGCAAGUCGAGCGGACAGAAGGGAGCUUGCUCCCGGAUGUUAGCGGCGGACGGGUGAGUAACACGUGGGUAACCUGCCUGUAAGACUGGGAUAACUCCGGGAAACCGGAGCUAAUACCGGAUAGUUCCUUGAACCGCAUGGUUCAAGGAUGAAAGACGGUUUCGGCUGUCACUUACAGAUGGACCCGCGGCGCAUUAGCUAGUUGGUGAGGUAACGGCUCACCAAGGCGACGAUGCGUAGCCGACCUGAGAGGGUGAUCGGCCACACUGGGACUGAGACACGGCCCAGACUCCUACGGGAGGCAGCAGUAGGGAAUCUUCCGCAAUGGACGAAAGUCUGACGGAGCAACGCCGCGUGAGUGAUGAAGGUUUUCGGAUCGUAAAGCUCUGUUGUUAGGGAAGAACAAGUGCAAGAGUAACUGCUUGCACCUUGACGGUACCUAACCAAAAA
rnacentral:rRNA from 1 species